UAUUUGUCAAUCUUCUUCCGGUUGCUAGUUCUUUUCGCUAAUCAUCCGUCGAGCGGAGCGCAUCAUUGGUGAGACUAAAUCGAUCUUGUUUCAAGUGUAAAAAAUACAAAAUAUUCACUGUAAAAUUCAAGAAAUCGUCUGGAAAAUGGCGUUAAUUGAGAUACAGAAACUUUAAAGAUAUCGGAAAUUUUGUAUGGGCCAUUGGUUCGAACAUGACUAAAUGAAGGUCACAAAUCUUGCCUAGGAAUCUCGGCUGUAAUUGAUCCAUGACAAGCGAGUAGAGAAUUUUCGCACAGAAAAGGGGCCAAAAUGCUACUUUUUAGUUUAAAAUCUAAAAUAUUAAUAUUUUGUCUAUAUUUUAUACGCCAGCAGGCGUAAAUUGGUAUUUUUCCUAAAUGUUAAAUGUUUAAAUUUUAGGUAAACUAGAAUUUUUGAAAAUAGAUAUAUGAAUAUAGAAUGUAUGAUAAAAGAAAAACGUAUUAAAAUUUUAAUAUGAA